rnacentral:rRNA from 1 species
AACGAACGCUGGCGGCAUGCCUAACACAUGCAAGUCGAACGAAGUCUUCGGACUUAGUGGCGCACGGGUGCGUAACGCGUGGGAAUCUGCCCUUGGGUGCGGAAUAACUUCUCGAAAGGGAUGCUAAUACCGCAUAAUGUCGUAAGACCAAAGAUUUAUCGCCCAAGGAUGAGCCCGCGUAAGAUUAGCUAGUUGGUGGGGUAAAAGCCUACCAAGGCGACGAUCUUUAGCUGGUCUGAGAGGAUGAUCAGCCACACUGGGACUGAGACACGGCCCAGACUCCUACGGGAGGCAGCAGUGGGGAAUAUUGGACAAUGGGCGAAAGCCUGAUCCAGCAAUGCCGCGUGAGUGAUGAAGGCCCUAGGGUUGUAAAGCUCUUUUACCAGGGAUGAUAAUGACAGUACCUGGAGAAUAAGCUCCGGCUAACUCUGUGCCAGCAGCCGCGGUAAU